UACAGAAGUCCCAAGCGUUGUUCGGAUUCACUGGGCGUAAAGGGUGCGUAGGUGGUGAGGUAAGUCGGAUGUGAAAGCUCGGAGCUCAACUCCGAAAUGGCAUUGGAAACUACCUUGCUCGAGGGUUGGAGGGGGGACUGGAAUGCUUGGUGUAGCAGUGAAAUGCGUAGAUAUCAAGCGGAACACCAGUGGCGAAGGCGAGUCCCUGGACAACUCCUGACACUGAGGCACGAAAGCUAGGGGAGCAAACAGG
rnacentral:rRNA from 1 species